rnacentral:rRNA from 1 species
GAUGAACGCUAGCUACAGGCUUAACAUAUGCAAGUCGAGGGGAAACGAUAUUGAAAGCUUGCUUUCGAUAGGCGUCGACCGGCGCACGGGUGAGUAACGCGUAUCCAACCUGCCCAUAACUAAGGGAUAAUCCGUAGAAAUGCGGUCUAAUACCUUAUGUGUUCCGAAGAAGACAUCUGAAUUGGAAUAAAGAUUUAUCGGUUAUGGAUGGGGAUGCGUCUGAUUAGAUUGUUGGCGGGGCAACGGCCCACCAAGUCUACGAUCAGUAGGGGUUCUGAGAGGAAGGUCCCCCACAUUGGAACUGAGACACGGUCCAA